AAAAGAGUUCCACUGGGGUGAACAGAGGGUGGGCAUUUCCCAACUCCCUUCCGGAACCGUAUUUUAACCCCGGGAUUCAGGUCGGACCUCCUUUAUCAGCACACCGUGGCAUCCAUCACUGCUGAGGAAUAGAGAUACAGAGCUGUGAAACCCUGUCUGCAGAUGAAGAGCAAUGGUUCCCAGUCCUGUUCCUGGGGUCUCAAAGGGAUGCCUUGCAACUGGAGAUUUCUUAAACGAUUGCCUACAGUUACUGUGUAGGGCACUGCACAGUUGGGUGACCACGGCCAUCUGGGACUGCCUCGUGGGGGAUUUCAGGCAUCUGUGAAGACUACCUGUGUCCUGCAUAACUUCAUGAUGAUGAACAGGAGGGGACCUGCAGCGCUCCGCCGUGUGCCAGAAAAGAGGUCUGCUGCUCUGCAGGAUGUUGCCAGGAUGGGGGCCAACAACGCGCACAGGAGGCAAUCUGUGUGCAGGAGACCUUCACCUCCUACUUCUUCGCAAAUGAUGCUGUUCCCUGGCAACACCAUAGACCACACUAUGCACAACCAAAGGCU